rfam:Gossypium raimondii chromosome 1, whole genome shotgun sequence.
AAUCCAUGGUGCGGGCAUUUUUGAAUCAACAUUUUGAAUUGUUCUCAUUCCUCAUAAAAACUUUCUCCCUCCAUUCGUCUAAAGACAACAAUAUUUCUUCUUAAUU